GAUGAACGCUGGCGGCGUGCCUAAUACAUGCAAGUCGAGCGAACGGACGAGAAGCUUGCUUCUCUGAUGUUAGCGGCGGACGGGUGAGUAACACGUGGAUAACCUACCUAUAAGACUGGGAUAAAUUCGGGAAACCGGAGCUAAUACCGGAUAAUAUUUUGAACCGCAUGGUUCAAAAGUGAAAGACGGUCUUGCUGUCACUUAUAGAUGGAUCCGCGCUGCAUUAGCUAGUUGGGAAGGUAACGGCUUACCAAGGCCACGAUGCAUAGCCGACCUGAGAGGGUGAUCGGCCACACAAGAACUGAGGCACGCUCCAGACUCCUACGGGAGGCAGCAGUAGGGAAUCUUCCGCAAUGGGCGAAAGCCUGACGGAGCAACGCCGCGUGAGUGAUGAAGGUCUUCGGAUCGUAAAACUCUGUUAUUAGGGAAGAACAUAUGUGUAAGUAACUGUGCACAUCUUGACGGUACCUAAUCAGAAAGCCACGGCUAACUACGUG
rnacentral:rRNA from 1 species